AGCGAACGCUGGCGGCAUGCUUAACACAUGCAAGUCGCACGGUCGGGGGCGAACUCCGGCAGUGGCGGACGGGUGAGUAACGCGUAGGAAUCUAUCCUUGGGGUGAGGGACAACCGUGGGAAACUACGGCUAAUACCGCAUGAUCCCUGAGGGGGCAAAGGCGAAAGUCGCCUGAGGAGGAGCCUGCGUCUGAUUAGGUAGUUGGUGGGGUAAAGGCCUACCAAGCCUACGAUCAGUAGCUGGUCUGAGAGGAUGAUCAGCCACAUUGGGACUGAGACACGGCCCAAACUCCUACGGGAGGCAGCAGUGGGGAAUAUUGGACAAUGGGCGCAAGCCUGAUCCAGCAAUGCCGCGUGGGUGAAGAAGGUCUUCGGAUUGUAAAGCCCUUUUGGCGGGGACGAUGAUGACGGUACCCGCAGAAUAAGCUCCGGCUAACUUCGUG
rnacentral:rRNA from 1 species